GUAGGGAAUAUUGGGCAAUGGAGGCAACUCUGACCCAGCCAUGCCGCGUGCAGGAAGACGGUCCUCUGGAUUGUAAACUGCUUUUGAAUGGGAAGAACACUACCCUUGCGAGGGUAUUUGACGGUACUAUUAGAAUAAGCACCGGCUAACUCCGUGCCAGCAGCCGCGGUAAUACGGAGGGUGCAAGCGUUAUCCGGAUUUAUUGGGUUUAAAGGGUGCGUAGGCGGCUUGAUAAGUCUGGGGUUAAAGGCGGCAGCUUAACUGUACGCAUGCCCUAGAUACUGUUGAGCUUGAGUGACCUGGAGGUAGCUGGAAUUCCCUGUGUAGCGGUGAAAUGCAUAGAUACGGGGAGGAAUACCGAUUGCGAAGGCAUGUUACUACGGGUAAACUGACGCUGAUGCACGAAAGCGUGGGGAUCAAACAGGAUUAGAAACCCGAGUAGUCC
rnacentral:rRNA from 1 species